UUUGAAUCCUGGCUCAGGACGAACGCUGGUGGCGUGCUUAACACAUGCAAGUCGAACGGUGAAGCCCAGCUUGCUGGGUGGAUCAGUGGCGAACGGGUGAGUAACACGUGAGCUACCUGCCCCCUACUUCGGGAUAAGCCUUGGAAACGAGGUCUAAUACCGGAUAUGAGCAUUUACCGCAUGGUGGGUGUUGGAAAGUUUUUCGGUGGGGGAUGGGCUCGCGGCCUAUCAGCUUGUUGGUGGGGUAAUGGCCUACCAAGGCGUCGACGGGUAGCCGGCCUGAGAGGGCGACCGGCCACACUGGGACUGAGACACGGCCCAGACUCCUACGGGAGGCAGCAGUGGGGAAUAUUGCACAAUGGGCGAAAGCCUGAUGCAGCGACGCCACGUGAGGGAUGACGGCCUUCGGGUUGUAAACCUCUUUCAGCAGGGAAGAAGCGAAAG
rnacentral:rRNA from 1 species